rnacentral:rRNA from 1 species
UACGGGGGGAGCAAGCGUUGUUCGGAUUUACUGGGCGUAAAGGGCGCGUAGGCGGCCAGCACAAGUCAGUUGUGAAAUCUCCGAGCUUAACUCGGAAAGGUCAACUGAUACUGUGCGGCUAGAGUGCAGAAGGGGCAACUGGAAUUCCUGGUGUAGUGGUGAAAUGCGUAGAGAUCAGGAGGAACACCGGUGGCGAAGGCGGCCCACUGGGCAGUCACUGACGCUGAGGCGCGAAAGCUCGGGGAGCGAACGGG